AAUUUUAGACAAUGGGGGAAACCCAGAUCCAGCCAUACCGCGUGUAUGAUGAAGGCCGUCGGGUUGUUGAGUACUCUUGGCAAUGAUGAAAUUGUAUCCACCACUACUGGAUACUGCUGACGGUAUCUUCAGAAUAGGCACGGGCUAACUACGUGCAAGCAGCCGCGGUAAUACGUAGGGUGCAAGCGUUAAUCGGAAUUACUGGGCGUAAAGCGUGUGUAGGCGGUUCGGAAAGAAAGAUGUGAAAUACCAGAGCUCAACCUUGUGACGUCAUUGUUUACUGCCGAGCUAGAGUAUGUCAGAGGGGUGUAGAAUUCCACGUGUAGCAGUGAAAUGCGCAGAUAUGUGGAGGAAUACCGAUGGCGAAGGCAGCCCCCUGAGAUAAUACUGACGCUCAGACACGAAAGCGUGGGGAGCAAACAGG
rnacentral:rRNA from 1 species